UGGUUUGUGCCUCGAUGAUCCCAGCUGUUCUCUCUCUGAACUCAGGUGUCAUACGCUAAAACUAAAUUAAUGGAGUCUCUCACCAGGGUUCCCAUUUUUGUCUGGAUUUCUGGUCAGAGCUGGAGAUUGUAAGCCACUCUAUGGGACCUUACUUGCAGGACAGUCGACUUACUAGGAAGGCUAAUGAACAAGCAUCAUCAACUGCAACUCCCCACGUUUCAACUAAGGCCUCCGGUUCAACUCUGCCAUUUGGUUGAGUGCCACAAAGACAGCAUCUGUUACCCCUCCUUUCUUUUCUUCUUGAAUAAAGCCUUGCUAACAAGGAGAAUUUAGAUCUCCCAUGAGUUCUAAAGCUUCUCUAAUAAUGCCUUGCUGUAUGUUGCUCUUGUAAUAACAUGCUUUGACUGAAUCCGAUUUUCCAAACUGUUCAAUAACACCUUGUCAUAUGGCUCAUUGCAAAAGACUCUCUAUUAACACAUUUCCAGAGAACUCUUCUCCUUCCUGUUGGUGCAUGGUGGGGAAGUGGAUUUACGAGUCCCAGCAACUCUCCCCAUUAUCAAGUGCACUACUCGAUGCUGUCAAGUAUUUCGUCACAGAUGUGAAGCUCUGGCAGGACUGAGAUCAUGUGUACCUCCUAAUGCCAAGUCCAUAAAAUUCCUUUUAAUCUUCACAUCUCUGACUCUGAAAGCUGCCACUACUGCAACACAGCCUGCUCUCUUCAAACUCGAAAUCCUUCUGCCUGUUGCCUGAAAUCGGACUGCCUGAGAAUAUAUGCAGUGUAUGGCUAACAGGUGACAGUUUUCCCAAACUUUCUACCACUAUAUAUCAAAGAUCUUCCAUCUUCUAGCUCCCAAUACUAUUCCAUUCACUCUCCUUCAAGUCUUCACUGACAGUCACCAUGAGGCUCACCGGUGCUGGUAAAACCCACGUCCAGCAGAGAGAAGGUGAGUAUUUUGAUUGAGGGAGCUGCAUAACGGAUUCAGCAGAGACCUCAGGUUAAACUUGCCUUUCAAGCUGGAGAGGAUCCGAUGGAGUCUUUAUGGCCCACUCUGGCAGGACUAUGUUUAUAGCAAAUACUCAAAAGCAUACAGUUCUCCUUAAAAAUUAGGAUUUGCAGCUGCUGGCUAAAAAUACAUCCAAAUGAAUGCCAAAAGCUAAAGCAAAAGCUUGUGAACCUUUUAAUAAUUGUAUUGCAUGAAAUAAAAUGUCUUGAAAAAAAAUUCUUACAGAAUUUCUGUUUCUCUAUCCCUUUGGUUAAACUAAGGCAAUGUAUUUAAUAUGAGGGCAUUUUUCAUAAAGUAAAGC